GAUGAACGCUGGCGGCGUGCCUAAUACAUGCAAGUCGAGCGAACAGACGAGGAACUUGCUCCUCUGACGUUAGCGGCGGACGGGUGAGUAACACGUGGAUAACCUACCUAUAAGACUGGGAUAACUUCGGGAAACCGGAGCUAAUACCGGAUAAUAUAUUGAACCGCAUGGUUCAAUAGUGAAAGACGGUUUUGCUGUCACUUAUAGAUGGAUCCGCGCCACAUUAGCUAGUUGGUAAGGUAACGGCUUACCAAGGCAACGAUGCGUAGCCGACCUGAGAGGGUGAUCGGCCACACUGAAACUGAGACACGGUCCAGAAUCCUAAGGGAGGCAGCAGUAGGGAAUCUUCCACAAUGGGCGAAAGCCUGACGGAGCAACGCCGCGUGAGUGAUGAAGGUCUUCGGAUCGUAAAACUCUGUUAUUAGGGAAGAAAAAAUGUGUAAGUAACUAUGCACGUCUUGACGGUACCUAAUCAGAAAGCCACGGAUAACUACGAG
rnacentral:rRNA from 1 species